UUUCACUUUGCGUGGAAGCAUGUGCACGGGACAGAGCAUUGCAGUUGUGAAGGAUGACGGCGUGUUGUGACAUUGUGAACCAUCUUGUCAAAGUGAUGUUGAAUGCAUUUGGCGUGGACUUUGAUGGUGACGGUUUCGCUCGUAAGUGCCCCAACUCAGGCGGAUUUCUUAUGGGGAAAGGAAAGCUCAAUAUUCCACUUUCUUUCUCAUAUUGUACGAAAGCGCAAGCAACCGCAGUUCUCAGGCCCUUGACAUGUUUAAGGCGAGAAAUGAAAAACAAGACAUCAAAAAGCCUUCCGAUGCCUCGAAAAAUAGGACGAAUGGAUUAUUGUGAAGCCAUUGGCGCCGUAAACUGCGAUGACGACGGCAUGGAACCUAUUGAGAACCUCGGAAUCGAAGUAAGCAGGUGUAUCAGCUACAGGCAC